rnacentral:rRNA from 1 species
AUUGAACGCUGGCGGAAUGCUUUACACAUGCAAGUCGAACGGCAGCACGGGGCAACCUGGUGGCGAGUGGCGAACGGGUGAGUAAUACAUCGGAACGUGCCCAAUCGUGGGGGAUAACGUAGCGAAAGUUACGCUAAUACCGCAUACGAUCUACGGAUGAAAGCGGGGGAUCGCAAGACCUCGCGCGAAUGGAGCGGCCGAUGUCAGAUUAGGUAGUUGGUGGGGUAAAGGCUCACCAAGCCAACGAUCUGUAGCUGGUCUGAGAGGACGACCAGCCACACUGGGACUGAGACACGGCCCAGACUCCUACGGGAGGCAGCAGUGGGGAAUUUUGGACAAUGGGGGCAACCCUGAUCCAGCAAUGCCGCGUGCAGGAAGAAGGCCUUCGGGUUGUGAACUGCUUUUGUACGGAACGAAACGGCUCUGGUUAAUACCCGGGGCUAAUGACGGUACCGUAAGAAUAAGCACCGGCUAACUACGUGCCAGCCGCCGCCGUAA